AUUGAACGCUGGCGGCAGGCCUAACACAUGCAAGUCGAGCGGAGCGGCGGACGGGUGAGUAAUGCCUAGGAAUCUGCCUGGCAGUGGUGGUUAACGUCCGGCAACGGGCGCUAAUACCGCAUCCUAUCAGAUGAGCCUAGGUCGGAUUAGCUAGUUGGUGGGGUAAAGGCCUACCAAGGCGACGAUCCGUAACUGGUCGGAGAGGAUGAUCAGUCACACUGGAACUGAGACACGGUCCAGACUCCUACGUGAGGCAGCAGUGGGGAAUAUUGGACAAUGGGCGAAAGCCUGAUCCAGCCAUGCCGCGUGUGUGAAGAAGGUCUUCGGAUUGUAAGUCACUUUAAGUUUGGAGGCGUUACCAACAGAAGAAGCACCGGCUAACUACGUGCCAGCAGCCGCGGUAAUAC
rnacentral:rRNA from 1 species